ACAAGAUUCAAGGAAUCAGAUAUUCAGAUAUUAUUGCUUAGGCUCUAUUCAUUGUGACUGAAUAUGUAUUAAAUAAUUGAGUACGUCUUGCAAUUCUCCAACAUGAAAUGCAGUGGGAGAACGAGACAAAUACUUCACGUGCAAUUUCACAACUCUCUUUUUUUAAGGGCCAACUUUUGAGAUGGGUUUUGUGCAGAUGACACUAUAGGAAACACUGCCAACACCUAAAUAUAGGUCCUCUUGGAGCUGUAAUGUCCCUGGAUAAAAACAGAUGCAUCUAAUUAUCUCAUAAGAGAGGAGAAUUGGAAAAGAAAGAUUUAGUAAGUUUCCUAAGAUCCUGCAAGUAAUAUUUCCCUAUACAGCUUACCCUACUGUCAGUUGAAAAUUGGUCAUACAACUUGUCACAGCUUGUCUGUAUUAAAUCCCCACACUAAUCACUCCUGAUAACAAAAUAAGAUGAAGUAAAAAACAUUGAGCAUAUAUCCAAGAACCAGAAAGACCCCAGGGUUCUAAGUCCAUGGAAGUGAUCUUUUCUGGUCCUCACACAUAUAACCAUUGGAAUGUUGACUCUCCACAAAGAUCAGAUGAAAUUUUGCAUUGUAUCUGCUUUCCCAGGACUCUCUUCAAUCAUUGGCCCUCAGUAUGGUAAUAACAAACCCACGAUUUCCUUGUUUCUAAAGUGUUCUAAUGUUUUCACAUCUUGGAGGGGACUUGGAUCUACCUCUCUCUAGCACUCAUUUUCUUGUUUGGCUGUCCAACUCAACCACAGAUUCCACAGCAAGAGGAACCACAGAUUACUCAUCACAACAUCCUCAGCCCAUAGAAUAUUCUUAGCAAACAUUUUCUUAAAUGACUAAAUGAGUGAAUGUGAUGAGAAUUUCAAAAUGUGUAGAACUGACCAGAGCCAGGAAUCCUGGAAAGUCCAGUAUCUUUCUCUUUCUACAAAGAAAUGGUGUGGGGAAGUGGGGCAAAUAUUUAAUAAAAUUCUGUCAUUAACUGAUAUAGCCACAAAAGCAUUUACUGAAAACUUAGGGCUAUCUGAUGAUUCCUAGUAUAUUUCACUGGGCUUAACAAAAACUGUGUGGAGCCUUGACCAUCUGGGAUGUCAUUACAUAAAGGUAAAUAAUUAAAUAUAUAACUUUGUAAAGACUUCUUCAAGAAUGUAAUCCCUUUUCACUCAGAAUAGAGCAAUUCUGUUCUUUCUUAUAAUAGAAACUAAAAUCUCUGAGCCUCAGAAAUCUUUUGGAAGAAAUCUUUGGGAAAGGACACCUAUAAUAAAGAUAUCCUGGGGAAAUAAGAGAUGUUGUAAAUUCAUAAUUAGAUUAUAAAAGAUGUAAAGCUUAUUGAUGCACUAUAUGACAUAUACCAUCUAAUUUUACUGACAAAAUGAAAAACUGACCUUCUGUGAAGCGUUGAAGGAAUUUUGCCCAGUUUGUAUUUAGAAGAACAGAAGGGAAGGUCUAAGAAACAUAAGGAUGGGCUCCAAGGACAAAGUUUCUUUUUCCACUGUUAGUAAAAGGAAAUCGGAAAUGUGGUUUGAGAUGAUCAACACAGACAUCUGAUCUAUAGGACUAGAAAAGAUUCUUUCCACCCACAGUAGCUCCUAAUCAUCAUCUUACAAGCAUGCCCUCCCAUUCUAAUAUAUCUUCCACAUUCCAGUCUUGAAUUGAUGCAGAUGAUUUUGGUUACGAAGAAACCCAGCUCAAAGUAGAUCAAACAGAAAAGGAGAUACAUAUAUGGCUUCCAGUAGCCCUCAAGAUUUAUAUUCAGCCAACUUUCUCUUGAGGUUCCAAGAGAUUGACAGCCUGGACCUGGAUUAGAUGCCCAACAUAUAUCAAUUAAUUAUAAUCAGGAGAGCAAGUUCAUAUAAGAAUAUAGCAGUUCCCCUAGUGCCCACAUAAAUGGACUGAAGAGUUAUUUCCAGAAAAAAACAAAGCUUUUCCCAGAAGAGUCAUUAUCAAACAUGCAAGUCAGGCAUCACAGACUGAAUAACAACCCUCAAAGGUGUGCACAUCCUAAUUCCUGAAACUUGUGAAUAUGCUGCCUUUUGUGGUAAAAGGGAAGGGGCUUUGCAGAUGUGAUUACUUCGAGGAUCUUGAAAUGAGAAGGUUGUGUUGGAUUACUUGGGUACAUCCAUAUAGUCACAACAUCCUUAUAAAAUAAAGGAAGGAGGAGGAUCAGACCCAGACGUUUAAAGAAGCUAUGCUGCUGGCUUUGAAGAUGGAACAAGGGACCAUGAGCUAAGAAAGACAGCCUCCAGAAACUAGAAAAGGCAAGAAAACCAAUUCUCUCUGAACCUCUAGGAGAAACACUGCCUGCUGGCAUCUUAAUUUUAGCCCAGAGAAACCCAUUUUGGGCUCCUGUUCUCCAGAACUCUAGUAUAAUAGAGUUGUCUUGUUUUAAGCCACUAAGCUUAAAACAGCAAUAGCAAACUAAUACACAGAAUGGUCACUAUAAUCCUGCUGCUUCUUAAAGCAAGAGACUUAUGCCUGCUCCAGUCCCCCCAACCAACACACACUUGUUAUCUUUAAAGAAAAAUCUAAACUUAACAUAUCACCCUCCCCACUUUUAAUUUACAACUUUGUGUAACGUGACUUCUAACCCCAGCCCUCUGAAACUGAUCCCUAAGAGGCCAUCAAAGGACUUCUUGGUGGAGAAAUCAUGUCUCUACUUCUCAUUUUUUUUACAUAUGCAUACACAGACACUUCAUUUAUCAAUUUUUUCUUGAAAAUCUCUCCUCUACAUUUUUGAGUUACUGGUCUCUCUUAAUUCUCCUACUUUAAAUUUAUUUUGUUGUUUCUUCUUCUAUUGGUCCUUUAAAUACAAACUUCUUUUCCUCCAUUGUAUCAUCUGUUCCUCCUCCAUAUACAUAGGCACCCACAUUUCAAUCUUGUCUCUAAUAAUCAGUAAUUGUAUGACACUGGUCAGAUAUUUUAGCAUGACGGCAUUCCCCAAAUAACCAUAACACCUGCAUUAUAUGGUUGCUGAAGAAUCAGACAAGGUAGAGAAAAUAUCUACACAUAGGACACUUUCAAUACGUAGUCACUUUAUUAUUCCACUUUGUUUUUUUUAUCCCUUUAUAGCUAUCUUUCUCUAAUUCUGCUCUUUCCAAUAUAAUUCCAAACUGACUACAUCUCCACCUAGAUAUCUUCAUUGCUGUCUGUCUAAAAUCCAUCUUACUUCUCUCCCUCUUAGUCCCAUACUCCUCCUCUGCACAGCUUUAUAGCACCCUAACAGAAUCAUAAAUGGUUAUUCACCCUGACUAGAAAGUUAAUAAUUCCCUUCCAACUAGCUGUUUCUCAAAACCAGUUGAUCAUGAAAUAUCUCAAUUGACUUCUACAUAGCAUCCACAGUGCUAUUUCCAAACAUUUUCUAUUUUCCUUAAGUUCUGAAUCCCAGCCCUACGAUUUUGACUUUCUGUAAUGAUACUACUUUAUAAUUUGAUUAGAGUUCUUCUGAUAUGAGCUACCUCAUCUUGCUGCAAAUUCAUCUCAAGUUUCCUGAACAUCUUCAAUCACCUUUAUCAUUCUUCCUCUAUCAGAGAAGGAAGAAUCACCCUUCCUCUCCACCUACCUUUGAAAGAUGAAAAAUCUUAUGGCAAUUAAAAAAAAAUAGGCCAGGCACGAUGGCUCACACCUGUAAUCCCAGCAUUUUGGGAGGCCAAGGCUAGUGGAUCACCUGAGGUCAGGAGUUCGAGGCUGGCCUGGCCAAAUGGUGAAACCCCCUUUCUACUAAAAAUACGAAAAGUAGCCGGGCAUGGUGGUGGGUGCCUGUAAUCCCAGAUACUCGGGAUGCUGAGGCACUAGUAUCGGUUGAUCCCGGGAGGCAGAGGUUACAGUGAGCCAAGAUCGCACCAUUGCACUCCAGCCUGGGUGACAGAGUGAGAUUCUGUCCCAAAAAAACAAACAAACAAACAAACAAAAAACCUCAGGUUUAAGAGUCAAAGAGACCUGGAUUCAAUUCCAAGGUUUUUUUGGUUUUUGAUUUUCUACUUAUUAGUCACA
rnacentral:lncRNA from 10 species